rnacentral:Y_RNA from 1 species
AUUUGGUCCGGUGUUAGUGGGUUAUCGUUUGUUUACAAAUAUCCCCCCCACUAUCACCCUUGACUAGUUAUAU